AAACUAUGUUGUGGGCAUGAAUUGACAAGAUCCUUGAACCUUUCCUAACAUUGAAAGAAUGUUUCAUCCUUCUUUUAGGCGAAGUUCAUGAUCGAUUUUUUAAGGGU